GUGGCGGACGGCUGAGUAACACGUGGCUAACCUACCCUCGGGACGGGGAUAGUCCCGGGAAACUGGGGCUAAUCCCCGAUAGGUGGAGCGGCCUGGAAGGGUCCUCCACCGAAAGGGUGUCGCGGGGAUGUCCGCGGCGCCGCCCGAGGAUGGGGCCACGGCCCAUCAGGUAGUUGGCGGGGUAACGGCCCGCCAAGCCUAUAACGGGUAGGGGCCGUGAGAGCGGGAGCCCCCAGAUGGGCCCUGAGACAAGGGCCCAGGCCCUACGGGGCGCACCAGGCGCGAAAACUCCGCAAUGCGGGCAACCGUGACGGGGCCACCCCGAGUGCCCCGAAGAGGGGCUUUUCCCCGCUGUAGGAAGGCGGGGGAAUAAGCGGGGGGCAAGUCUGGUGUCAGCCGCCGCGGUAAUACCAGCCCCGCGAGUGGUCGGGACGAUUAUUGGGCCUAAAGCGCCCGUAGCCGGCCCGGUAAGUCCUCCCUUAAAGCCCCGGGCACAACCCGGGGACGGGGAGGAUACUGCCGGGCUAGGGGGCGGGAGAGGCCGAGGGUACUCCCGGGGUAGGGGCGAAAUCCGUUAAUCCCGGGAGGACCACCAGUGGCGAAGGCGCUCGGCUGGAACGCGCCCGACGGUGAGGGGCGAAAGCCGGGGGAGCGAACCGGAUUAGAUACCC
rnacentral:rRNA from 1 species